rnacentral:SRP_RNA from 1 species
CCCAGGCGUGGUGGCGCAUGCCUGUAGUCCCAGCUACUCGGGAGGCUGAGGUGGGAGGAUCCUUGAGACCGGGAGUUCUGGGCUGUAGUGUGCUGUGCCGAUCAGGUGUCCACACUAAGUUUGGCAUCAAUAUGGUGACUUCCUGGAAGCGGGGGACCACCAGGUUGCCUAAGGAGGAAUGAACCAGCCCAGGUCGGAAACGGAGCAGGUCAAAACUCCCAUGCUGAUCAGUAGUGGGAUCGCACCUGUGAAUAGCCACUGCACUCCAGCCUGGGCAACAUAGCAAGACCCCAUCUCU